rnacentral:rRNA from 1 species
AUUGAACGCUGGCGGCAGGCCUAACACAUGCAAGUCGAGCGAGCGGCGGACGGGUGUGUAAUGUAUGGGGACUGCCCGAUAGAGGGGGAUAACUACUGGAAACGGUAGCUAAUACCGCAUACUAUCGGAUAACCCAUAUGGGAUUAGCUAGUAGGUGAGGUAAUGGCUCCCCAGGGCGACGAUCCCUAGCUGGUCUGAGAGGAUGAUCAGCCACACUGGGACUGAGACGCGGCCGAGACGCCCAAGGAGGCAGCGGUGGGGAAUAUUGCAGAAUGGGCGCAAGCCUGAUGCAGCCGUGCCGCGUGUAUGAAGAAGGCCCUAGGGUUGUAAAGUACUUUAAGUCGGGAGGCGUUACCGACAGAAGAAGCGCCGGCUAACUCCGUGCCAGCAGCCGCGGUAAUAC